rnacentral:rRNA from 1 species
AUUGAACGCUGGCGGCAGGCUUAACACAUGUAAGUCGAGCGGAGAUGAGGUGCCUGCACCUUAUCAUAGCGGCGGACGGGUGAGUAAUGCUUAGGAAUCUGCCUAUUAGUGGGGGACAACAUUCCGAAAGGAAUGCUAAUACCGCAUACGCCCUACGGGGGAAAGCAGGGGAUCUUCGGACCUUGCGCUAAUAGAUGAGCCUAAGUCGGAUUAGCUAGUUGGUGGGGUAAAGGCCUACCAAGCGACGAUCUGGAGCGGGUCUGAGAGGAUGAUCCGCCACACUGGGACUGAGACACGGCCCAGACUCCUACGGGAGGCAGCAGUGGGGAAUAUUGGACAAUGGGCGGAAGCCUGAUCCAGCCAUGCCGCGUGUGUGAAGAAGGCCUUUUGGUUGUAAAGCACUUUAAGCGAGGAGGAGGCUACCUGGAUUAAUACUCUAGGAUAGUGGACGUUACUCGCAGAAUAAGCACCGGCUAACUCUGUGCCAGCCGCCGCAGUAAGAC